rnacentral:rRNA from 1 species
GAUGAACGCUGGCGGCGUGCUUAACACAUGCAAGUCGAACGAAGCACUUUGAUCGAUUUCUUCGGAUUGAAAUUUUAGUGACUGAGUGGCGGACGGGUGAGUAACGCGUGGGUAACCUGCCUCACACAGGGGGAUAACAGUUGGAAACGGCUGCUAAUACCGUAUAAGCGCACAGUACCGCAUGGUACAGUGUGAAAAACUCGGGUGGUGUGAGAUGGACCCGCGUCUGAUUAGCUAGUUGGCAGGGCAGCGGCCUACCAAGGCGACGAUCAGUAGCCGACCUGAGAGGGUGACCGGCCACAUUGGGACUGAGACCCGGCCCAGACUCCUACGGGAGGCAGCAGUGGGGAAUAUUGCGCAAUGGGCGAAAGCCUGACGCAGCGACGCAGCGUGAGGGACGACGGCCUUCGGGUUGUAAACCUCUUUCAGCGGGGACGAAGCGAAAGUGACGGUACCCGCAGAAGAAGCACCGGCUAACUACGUGCCAGCCGCCGCCGUAAUAC